rnacentral:misc_RNA from 1 species
CGCCGCAGCCGCAUGAUCGCGAGCUUCAACCGCGGCUAUAACGGGUUCCAGCAGACCUAUCGCUCCUGCACGCCGGCCGCGAAUGUCGCCAUCCGCCGCUACCUGGAAGAAGGCUCGAAAAUNNNNNNNNNNNGACCUGACGGCGCGCUACGCCAACUGAAAUUUCCGGUGGACAGCUUUCCGCGGCCCGAACGGGAAUGCUGGAAAUAAUGCGAUAACUUGAAUUCGCGCCGUUAAC